GACGAACGCUGGCGGCGUGCUUAACACAUGCAAGUCGAACGGGUCUGCCCUGUUUUUUGCGGGGUGGGUCAGUGGCGAACGGGUGAGUAACACGUGAGUAACCUGCCCCUCACUUCUGGAUAACCGCUUGAAAGGGUGGCUAAUACGGGGUGUUCUGGCUGUGCCGCAUGGUGUGGCUGGGAAAGAUUCACUUUUGUGGUGUUUUGGUGGGGGAUGGGCUCGCGGCCUAUCAGCUUGUUGGUGGGGUGAUGGCCUGCCAAGGCUUUGACGGGUAGCCGGCCUGGGAGGGUGGGCGGUCACACUGGGACUGAGAGACGGCCCAGACUCCUGCGGGAGGCAGCAGUGGGGGGUAUUGCACAAUGGGCGGAAGCCUGAUGCAGCGACGUCGCGGGAGGGAUGGAGGCCUUCGGGUUGUGAACCUCUUUCGCCGGUGAAGAAGGUCCUGCUCUUUGUGGUGGGGUUGACGGUAGCCGGGUUAUGAAGCGCCGGCUAACUACGUG
rnacentral:rRNA from 1 species